AUAAUGAUACUUCCUUACAGCCAUAGUCCGAGCGUUAGAAGCGUCGCAGGCAAUGGGUAGGGCUUCGGCAGACCGCCGGAGGGGUGCAAGUCCCAUGA
rfam:Clostridium difficile 630 complete genome